rnacentral:lncRNA from 1 species
GCGUCGAGGCGGCAUCGUGGUAAUCCUGCACGGCCACACAAAGAAGACAGAAGGGUAAGGAAGGGCUUCGCCAUGGCAAAAAGUGAUGACGACCGUGGCUUAUUAGCGCAGGGGCGACGACAGUUCCACAACGGGAGAAGAGAAUGCGAUACACGGCCCGAAAAUUCAAAUAUAAAAAUCACCUGAAUCCAAAAACUUCGAAACCUAUUUUCAAAAUCUAAUUUUAAAACAUUGCAAAACUAUCCCUUAGCUCAAUUCCUUUUCAUCCAAAAUCCAUACCAAGUUUAAUCUCCCUUUAAUUCAUUUAUCUUUCCAAAUCAGUACCGACAACUUCUCUCUAACAUUCCUAUCCUCCCUAAGCCAUCACCAUCAACCUUCUGAUCCCUUCCUUCAAGUGUGCUCUCACGCACAAGCUUGCCACCUAGCCACACACAGCCUGAGCACGCACACAACAUGCACAUUAUGCAUGUACGAGCAGCAUAGAGUCACGGACAGCAGCAGCACGAACACUACAUGCAAGCUCCACACGCCAGGCCCCAUGCCGUGCUCGCUCUGCCCUACUCGAACGGCAGCCUGACCCGCGAGGUAACCUGCACUACUGCCCGGCACCACGCCGUGUUGCCCCUUGCCGCGUCCCCACCUCAACCACGCCGUUGUCUUCAAGCUCGCCAGCCAUGCCGCCUCGUCGCGCACGUCGUCAACGCCGUUGGCGCAUCAGCGCCACCACAGAAGCAAGCCGACGCCGCAGCAGCACCACCGCAAGCCCGUACGUCGCCUUGACGCCUUGCUCCACCCACUCCCUGCUGCCUCAUCAUGCGCUGUCAACGCCGCUGUCACCUCAGCGCCACUGCCGCAGCAAGCCAACGCCGCUGUAGCACCACCGCAGGCACGCACGUCGCCUUGCUCG